CUUGUCUCAAAGAUUAAGCCAUGCAUGUCUAAGUACAAGCCUCACUAAGGUGAAACCGCGAAUGGCUCAUUAAAUCACACCUAAUGUACUGGACAGUCUCAGUUACUUGGAUAACUGCGGUAAUUCUGGAGCUAAUACAUGCGUACUAGCCGCGACUCACGGAGCGGUGCUUUUAUUAGAUCAAAACCAAACGGCCUCGAGCCGUCCCCCUGGUGAUUCUGAAUAACUUUGGGCUGAUCGCACGGCCUCGAGCCGGCGACGUGUCCUUCCAAGGUGUGCCCUAUCAACUGUCGACUGUGGCAUAGACGCCCACAGUGGUUUUGACGGGUAACGGGGAAUUAGGGUUCGAUUCCGGAGAGGGAGCCUGAGAAACGGCUACCACUUCUACGGAAGGCAGCAGGCACGCAAAUUACCCACUGGCCGCAGGCCGAGGUAGUGACGAAAAAUAACGAUACCGGACUCAUCCGAGGCCCGGUAAUCGGAAUGAGUACACUUUAAAUCCUUUAACGAGGAACAAUUGGAGGGCAAGUCUGGUGCCAGCAGCCGCGGUAAUUCCAGCUCCAAUAGCGUAUAUUAAAGUUGUUGCGGUUAAAAAGCUCGUAGUUGGAUCUCGGCGGGCAGGGGGUGGUUCGCUCUUCAGCGCUACUGCCCCGCUUUGCCCGUGUGAUUGGCGGAGGUUUCGGGGUGCUCUUCGUUGAGUGACUCGGAGCGCCGUCAGGUUUACUUUGAAAAAAUUAGAGUGCUCAAAGCAGGCUUUUCACGCUUGAAUAUUCGUGCAUGGAAUAAUGGAAUAGGAACUCGUUUCUAUUUUGUUGGUUUUCGGAAAUCGAGUUAAUGAUUAACAGGGACAAUUGGGGGCAUUAGUAUUCAGACGACAGAGGUGAAAUUCUUGGACCGUCUGAAGACUGACUACUGCGAAAGCAUUUGCCAAGAGUGUUUUCAUUAAUCAAGAACGAAAGUUAGAGGUUCGAAGGCGAUCAGAUACCGCCCUAGUUCUAACCAUAAACGAUGCCAGCUAGCGAUCUGCCGAGUUUUUUUUGUAGGCUCCGCAGGAAGCUUUCGGGAAACCAAAGCUUUUGGGUUCCGGGGGAAGUAUGGUUGCAAAGCUGAAACUUAAAGGAAUUGACGGAAGGGCACCACC
rnacentral:rRNA from 1 species